UACGGGGGGGGCAAGCGUUGUUCGGAAUUACUGGGCGUAAAGGGCUCGUAGGCGGCCAACUAAGUCAUACGUGAAAUCCCUCGGCUUAACCGGGGAACUGCGUCUGAUACUGGAUGGCUUGAGUUCGGGAGAGGGAUGCGGAAUUCCAGGUGUAGCGGUGAAAUGCGUAGAUAUCUGGAGGAACACCGGUGGCGAAGGCGGCAUCCUGGACCGAUACUGACGCUGAGGAGCGAAAGCCAGGGGAGCAAA
rnacentral:rRNA from 1 species